CUGCGAGAACGUCGCUUUGCUCCCAGUUCCCUAUCAAACUUGAUAGCUUCUGUAAGCCAUCCUUCCUAGCACACGACUCUGUGGUUUCUUUCGGCUUUUUAUCCUCACUUCCACCGUCCUCCUCCAAACUUACUUCUUUGCAGUAUGUAAAUCCAUCACUAUUAGCACUCUGGCAAUAGCCUGAAAAGUUCUCAUUAUUCUCAAUUUGAUUGCCCUUUUCUUGGUGAAUCUGAUUGCCAUUUUCUUGUGGCUUAUCCUCGAUUUUCUUAUUUUCUUCUCCAUUUGGAAGCUCCCGGUCAUUAAUUUCUUCAGCUUCAUCAGAAGAUGCUCCCAUUUGGCCCCUGUAAGGAAUGAAAUUGAAUUUCGUGUUCAACUAUUUAAAGAUUCAACUCUAAGUUUCGUCAAUAGCAAUUGAGUAAGAAUAGGUAUGAUCAAGCUAAUAAACAAAUCACAACAACAAUACAAAUCAGAAACAUAUACAGGGUAAUGCAGUUAUAUCUAGUUCUUUUGUGCUUUCUCCACAAAAGUUCCUCCAUGUUAAUGCAACUCUAUAUCAAUUAAUCUAUCAUACAAGACAAGACAUAAUCAACAAUUGAAAAAUAUGACAACACUAGCUUUCGUCCAGUGAAAUUUUCAUCCAAAGACAGUAGGCAAAACCAAAAAUGUACAAACCUCCAACGUCGUUCUAUAAUCUCUCCCUUCCCAAUAUGCUCAUCAAGCAAUUCCGGCACAUAACCAGGACUGACGAAUGGAUACCUGCAAUUAAUAAUACAUAAUAUUCAAACUCCUUCAUCGAUCCCAAUACGAUAAAUUUUAAAUUGUUAUGAUCCGGAUAUUACCAAUGGUAUGUCAUGCUUCCAUCUGGGUCGGUCGUGAAUAUUCCAGCAUAGUUGUGGCCUUCAAGGUGAAAGCAAGCAGUAACAAAUACCUGAUUCGUCAAUCCUCGCAGCUCAAACUCUUCUUUCAACUUAUCAAUGCGAACACGUGCGCUAUCACGAUUCCAUUCCUCUUGACUCAUAUGUGUGUAUACAAAUAUAAGGGCAAAUACAUGGGGGCCAGUCAACGGCUCUUGCACUCUCGAAGCCCAUGGUCUAUCAUUCACAAGGACAUCAUCAACAAAGCUGUCCACAUCCGACUCUUUCAAGCCCCUUUGAUCAACAAACAAAAACAACCCCAGGAUCAUAAAAAGGGAUUUACAAGAAACAAUAACCUAACACUCUUUACUUUCUUGUAAGGCAAGGAAUUAGUGUAAGGCAAUGAAUUAGUCGUAAACUGAGUCAUUAAAUUCAAUUUCGAUCUAAUUUCAGAAGCUAACACGUAUUUAAUUAUCUAUUUAGUUUAGUACAUUCAGCACAAUCUCGUAAUCAAAAGAGAAGUCGAAACAGAAAUUACUUUAGUCUAAACUAGGAAAAUAAAUUGCACUGCUCAUGUUGGUUAUUGAAUGGGCCCUCGAUUAUGAAUUAAUUACGGUUUGCCAUUGUGUGUGUUAGUGUGGGCCGUGCUUAACAGCUGGGUUGGGCUACCGCAGUUGGGCCCAGGGUGCAGCUGUCACGAGUUUUGGGCUGGGUUUCACUGAAAGAUCAAAUGACUCUUUUGCCCCCUUCAUUUUUAAUCUAACGGCCACCAUUUGGGGCGUUUUUGUUCUGCAAUUCGGUGUGGUGCUAGUUAAGGAGAUCGCGUGUGGUGCUCGUCAAGGAGAUCGCGCAGAGAGGCAGAGAGGCAGAGGGUGACAUCGAGUUUAGGGUUUGCACAGUGAGAGACAAAAGUGUUGAUGGGAAGGGUUGGGGGUGGACAGAGGGUUGAUGGGAAGGGUAGGAGCUAGAGAGGGGGGGGUGGGGGUGAGGGUGGGUUCUGUCCACUGACGUUGGUUGCAGAGAGAGAGAAAGAUGGGAACGGGUACAGAGAGAAAGAGUGAGUCUUUAUUGAGUUUCAGAACUUUCCUCUCUGAUUUUCUGAUUAUUUUCUCAAUUGGGCUUAUUUCUUACCAAUUUCCUUUGAGAUUUAUGCAUGUGUGUUUGUUAAUGCUCUGUUUCUUCGUUUUUACAGGAAAUGGAAUUGCUCUCUUCCUCUUCUUGGCAACCAUGUAUGCCCUCUCUCUCUCUCAAAUUCUUUCAUUAGGGGUCUAAGGUGAUGCCUUUUUGCCUAAAAUAUCAUUUUGUUAAAUGGCUUAUGAUAUUUUGAUUCUCUGCACAUUCUGCGUAGUUCAAAAAGCAAAAUCUCUCUCUCUCUCUCUCUCUCUCUCUCUCUCUCUCUUUUCCUUUUUGUGGCUAAAGAUCAUGUCUUUUGUGUCAUAAAUUUGUUUUUGUUACAUGGGGUUCUGUAUAUCUUUUGGAUAAUCAAAAAGCUUGAAUGUUUACUAGGUUUCUUUAAAUUUCUUUGAAUUCUACCUUGUGAUUUUGGUUUAGAAAUGUGUAGAAUUACAUUUAUGAGGAUCAUAAGGAAGAGAAGCACAUAUCAGUUCUUAGGCAUUCCAUACGUAAUGACUAUGCUUAACUGCCUACUCCCACUUGGAAUGCUGCUUUGCCUCUCUCUCUCUCUCUCUCUCCCCCCCUUCUGCUGUGUAUUGCCUAAUUAGUUAUUUACAUUUGUUUAUUUGUCUCUGUAAAGCUUUCAUGCUUGGAUUUUAAAUGUAUGAUUCAAUUAGAAACCUUUAUAAUGUUGAUGUUAUAGAACAUUCAACAGAUAUAUAUUCAACAUUAGGUAGCUCUGGCAAAAUCAUAUAGACUAAGAUUUGGUAAUAUAUGGAGGUGAGAGUGAAUCUGCCUUGCUUGCCAUGAUAUAGGCUUGCAAUGAUGGCUUUCUCUUUGUAGUACUACAUUCUACUCUUACAUGCUAACAUCAGAAAGCAGACUAAGAUAGAUCCAAACCCAAUUUUAUUAAUUAAAGUUAACGGAAAGAAAAUGAUUUAUGCAUGCCUUUGUUUAUUUGUCACUUGAUUUUGGUUUAGGUUGACCAUAGCUAAAACAUCCAAGACUUGCCUAACACCUAAUUUGACGAAGACCGUAUCCUUUUUAGCCUUUAGGUGUGUGUUUGCUAGCUAGAUGGGUGGUGGGUGAGUCUUGGAUGUUAUCUUGGAUGUCUUGAUUAUUUUGGUGGGCGAGUCUUGGAUGUUUUGGUUCUGUCUUCUUCAACUCUUAUAUCUUCCCUUUUUCUGAAUUUUCUUUAUUUCUUAUCCUUUAAACUUUGUAUUUUUUUUUAAAUAUAUAUAUUUUUUGGUGAUGCAGAUAGAUGAACAUGUUCAAGGGGAAAUCAUGAACCACAGAUCACUGCAUCUGAAUAUUGUUUGAUUCCAAGAGGUCAGUGAUCGUAAACUUUUUCAUUUUGUAUUUUAAGAAUGAAUUUGGCAAGUUGUGUUUGAAUUUUGUAUAAGUAUCUGCUGAGGGUGGGUGGAUGAAGACAGAACACACUAAAUUUGGCCUCUGGUGUGCUUAAACUGGUACGGGGGAUGGUUAGAACUUUGAGCGCGGAAUGCAGUAGGACUAAAAGGAAAUGCCCUACCCACCGGGGCAAUCCACCACUUGCAGAAUUGUUGUCAAAAUAACUCUGCUAAAAAUAUGAUCUAUACUUCCUGCACUUUGUUUUACUGUGAAGUUGAAAUAGUCUUUAGAGUGGCUUAUUUGUGAUAAUCGAUAAAUAGGUUUGUGUUUAAGACUUGAGAGUAGUGCGGUGUCUUUCUUGCUGGUUCUGCUCACACCACCUCAUCUAGCCAUUGUGAUGGAGUACACGGCUGGGUGAGAACUCUUCGAGAGAAUAUGCAGUGCUAGCAGAUUUAGUGAGGAUGAGAUAAAGUAGUUUCAAAUGCAGAGAAAAUUUCAUUGGAAAUGAUUUUAGUGUAGAGUCUCAAAUAUGGGAUCUCUGAAUGUCCCCUGAAAUGGAAUCCAUCUCGAUUUUCGUCUAGUUUCAGAUAGGGAAAGUUAGGUCUGAAGCAUUUUUACAUAAAUAGUCAGUCAUAAUAUAACUAAAACUUACAUACUUUUUCAAUUUAAUUGUUGUUUUGCAUCAGGCAAGGUUUUUCAUCCAGCAGUUGAUAUCAAGAGUUAGUUGCUGUCAUUUGAUGGUAUGUAAAUCCUAUAAAUUCGGAUUAAAAUUAAAGCAACUAUAGAACAAAAACCUCAAGAAAUCAACGCGAGUUUACCUGUAUUUGAUCAUUUGUGGGAAAAUCAACACAUCGCCGUCGGAAAACUCAGUUCCUUCGCGUCCUUCAAUUACUGUCAACAACGUCUAUCAAAAACCAAGAAAAAAGUGAGUAAUGGAGUCGGCUCAACACCAGAACUCAGUAGCUCCAGGAAAUAAGAAACGGUAAGAAAAAGCAAUCAGAAACCCCGACGAAUUGAGCUGGAAAAUGGACCUUAAAGGUGAUGUCGUUCUUGCGAGCUUUGAGAGCAGAUGCGAAGAUUUUAGGGAGUGGAUCGGACUCAUAGCCUUUGAUGCGCCAUGGCCAGGCCUCGAGGGUCUUGUAGCAGAGGAAAACGUGGCGAUAGUAUGACAGUGUAUCGUCAUCAGUGUCUUCAUCAGACUCAUAUGACACAGUAGUGUCUUCAUCAGACUCAUAUGACAUAGUCUCAUAGUUGUCCCAAUUAGUACGAUCAUCGGACAAAUCCCAUUUUACAAUAUCCACUCCAGUUUUGUUCACCUUAAUAAUUGUAUUAUCUAGUCCAUAAAAUUGUGCUUGUACAAGAACCAUGUCGCCGCCUUUCAAAUUGAGCUUCUUGUUUUGAAAGAUUUCCCAACCAAAGAUAAUAUUCAUGGGAAGCAGUUACGGUGGCCUCAAUUGGCCAGAUACGAAAAUUAGUUUGCUGGGUACGAUUAACAACAUCAAUGGUUAGAAACCCACUAGAGUCGGAGUUGUCCGAAGAAUAAACGAUGCCCAAAGCCAACCCUCCUAUAUAAUCAAUACAUGGCGGCACUUUAAAUUUGACAGUUUCAUCCUCUCUCGCGACAUAGGCUAACCGCUUCGGAAUAUCAUUUCUAGAGAGAAAAAUUCCACCAAAUGCAUUUUUCUACAACAUGGGGUGCAAAGUUAGUAAAAGCAACAAUACAAAAAGCAGAGAGAGAGAGAGAGAGAGAGAGAGAGAGAGAGAGAGAGAGAGAGAGAGAGAGAGAGAGAGAGAGUACCAUACCGUUUGGAGGUUCUCCUUAAAAGUAUCAGUGAGACUGGUACACCCUUCCAUAUAAAUUGAAUCCAUGUAGUCCAAUGAGUUCUCCAAGUUUGGAAUAUCUUUGAGUUUGCGGCAGUCUUUCAGUUGCAAGUGUUUCAUUUUCGACAUCUCUGAAAAGUCGGACACUAUUUCCAGUGCUGUGCAGUAAUUCGCUUCCAAUACACAUAAACUGUUGGGCAAAUCUGGGAUUGCCUGAAGGUUUGUGCAAUGAUUUAGACAUAAACUCCAAAGCUGAGAAAGACCACUGAGAAUGGGUAGCCUAUUAAAACCAUUCCCACCUAGAUCUAAAAUUUUUAAAGAAGAUAGACUCCCAAUUAUUUCGAGAAGGGCACCAUCUGUUAUAUUGCAGUCGCUGAGAUGUAAUUCCUCAAUCAUCUUCAGUUGUGCUAAAAAAUGGUAACCCCCACACAAACCCUUACAGUCUCUGAUGGUCAAGUACCGGAGAUGUGGGAGUUUUGAAAAGUUUGGUAAUUCAGUCAGGUUACGGCAGUGUACAAGAACGAGAAACUUCAACUUCUUAGGUAACUGUUACUCAAAAAGAGAAAACAAUAAUAAAAAUCCAAAUAAAUAAAAGAGAGAAUGCAUGACGAUGACUGAUGUUGAUAUUUACAAGGACAUUGAUAGUUAUAUUGUACCAAGUCUGAAUCCUCCCAAACUCGUACGAUCUUGCUGGACCACAGUUCCAUAUAAACUAGGUUUCGUUGAUCAAAAUCUGCUGGUAUGGCUUCAAGAGGAAAUCCAAUCCAAUACAAUAAUCUUAACUCCUUGGAAAGAUGUUUGUAGCUUCCAGUCAGCUUUACAUUUCCCAGCCAGAGAAUUCUCAGUCGCCACAUCUUGUUAAAUGCUUCCGUACUGAAGCUUUGCUCGUCAUCAGAAUGUUCUGGCAAAAAUAAUUCUAGUCCUUCAACUGCUUCUGUUCCCUGUUAGAGAUAUAAAAAAAAAACAAGAAAAGGAUAAUAUUCACACGAAGCAGAGUUGUGAAUCGGAUGAAUGAACUACUAAAAAGGUAGGGCAUACAACAUAAUUAUUUAUUUUCUCUUUCAAAUUACCCAGUGGAUGAAAGCCUUUUCUUUUCUUCUUUUUCUUCGAAUAUACUAUGUAUGUCAUACACUAUAUAUAUACAGGAUAUGCUUAUAUACUUCUCUUUUUUCAUAUGUACUUAACAUCUCUUUUAUUGCAAAAGUACUUACAGAUUCGUUCCAUAGCACACUUUUUGCAUCUUCCAUAUGCCACAAUCGACUACGUUUUCCCAGUUCCACAGGAGAUUCUGCCCGCACAAUUUCUCUUCCCAUAUCUCGAAUCAAAUCAUGCAUCCUCAAUGCUCCCCCUUUAUCAAUAUAUAAGAGACAUCGAUCACAAAGUGUGGUAAUUUCUGCUUCUACAGAAAAAUGACUACAACCAUCCAAUAUUGUCGUGACCACACUUAUAGACACUCCAAUAAAGAAAUUAGAUAUGUCAAGGAACACACCCUUCACAUGAUCGUCACGUAACCCAUCGUAGCUUAAUUUAAGUGUUUGAUGAAUUUUUCCAUCUGGAAUAUUUCUUAAUUUAUUCAAUGUACUUUUCCAUAUGCUUUUACUCUUUUUCGUAGCCAACAAACGGCCAACAACUUCAAGAGCUAGGGGCAAUCCUCCACAAUAAUCAACAACAUCUCUUGCGAGUUCAAUAUAUUCUUCAUCGGGACAAUCAUUUCCAAAGGCAUGCCAACUAAGAAGCUUAAGAGCUUCAUCAUCAGUCAUUCCUUGUGCUUUAUACCUUUUAUCCACCUUUUGUAUAUUCAGCACUUGUUCAUCUCUUGUCGUUAUAAUAAUCCUACUCCCUGGACCAAACGAGUCAUGUGCUAUUGCCAAUUUAUCUAAUUGGUCCGCAUCAUCUAUGUCAUCAACCACGACAAGUACCUUCAUGCUUCCAAGUCUUUUCUCUAUCUCCUUGGUUCCUUCAGCAACAUUGCUUACCUUAAUGUCAGGCCGUUUCAAAAUAUCUCCAAGAAGUUGUUCUUGCAGACUAACCAUAUUUUUCUUGUUACUCCUCACCUCUUCAAGGUAACAUUGACUACUGAAACUAUGACCAUAUUUGCUACAAAUGGCUUUGGCAAGUGUUGUUUUACCUAUACCGCCUGUACCCCAAAUUCCAAUUAUUUGAACAUCAGGUGAACCUCCAACGUCUAAGUAUUCAGUGCUGAAUUCUUGCACGCGAAAAGCUAUUCCAACUGAGUGCUUGGCUUUUAAGUCUACGGGUUUCAAUAUUCCCUUGAUGUCCCCAGUAAUUUUCUCGAUAAACACUCCUUCACGCCUACAAGUAGAAAUUCCAAAUUACGAGAGCCAUACUAAAUGCCUUAAUCAUCAUGCCUUUAUAUUUACAUAUUGAAACAGAUUGGAAUAAAUUGUGAUUUACUGAGCUCAAUUCAACCACGUAUUUAAUCUUCGAUUAUAACGUGAAUAACCAAUUGGACUACUACACAAUUGUAGCUUUCAGUUAUAUAAUUAAGAAUCCAUUACAAUUGGUAUUUUAAUUUGAUAAAGUGUGGAGCAUUUGUCCUUCACACACCUAUAAAAAACAAUCACUUCCUUAAUUUUGACGGAAAUUCUUAUGCAAAUGCUCUACAACAAUAACAACAACAAAGCCUUUUCCCACUAAGUGGGGUCGAUAAAUAAAUGAUGCAAAUGCUCUACCUUUUAUAAAAUUCAUAUGCCAAUUCUAAUAAAUUUUUAUGCAGUGACCAAAAUUACAGUUCUAUCAUAGUUCACGGACCAACGAUCCAAUUUUUCUUAUAACUUAUAAAAUCAGAUUCAAUGCCUUAAUUAUAAUAUCUUAAUUUUGGUUGAUUAGUGAAAUAUGGCGAUAUGAAAUUUGAAGUAAACAAAAAAGUAUACCCGUCGGCCGUGGUUUUGAGGUUCCAGCCGGCCAAAUCUGCAGAAGCCUUAAGAUCCUCUCUCCACUGCUUGACCACAUUUGGAUCUUCAUCCUUUUCAUGCUUCUGAAAUGCUUCCCCAAAACUAUCUUUCUGUUUCCUGACUUGAGAAGGGUCAACGUCGUAGAAUAUUGGACACACUAUUUUCCCCUCUUGAUUUUUUAGGCACCUCAUGAUCUUCGACAGCUCCCUCAGGCACCAUCGGGACUCGGCGUACCUCUUUGAGAAGACGAUGACGGCGAUUCUCGACCCUUCGAUUUCUUGGUCAAGUUCCCUCUGUAUGUUUUCCCCCCUUCUGAGCUGUGUGUCUAUAAAUGUGUUAAUUCCGGCAUUGCGUAAUGCAAUGAAGAGGUGGUCUGUGAAGGUAUUGCGGGUGUCUUCACCUCUAAAGCUCAGGAACACCUCGUACUUCCAGCGGUUUGAGCUCCGCGAGGAAGACGAAGAGGCGGCAGCGGCGGCUCCAUGGUCGGAGCUGCUGGCAUCCAUUGCAGCCUGUAGAAGUGCAGCUUGACUUUCAAAUAACCAAAGUCAAUCUUUCCCAAGCUUCCCGAGUGUAGGCGACCCUAUUAAAUUUUUUGCAUAGGGCAAUGAUGUCACUGCCGUGUCGAUAACGCGUGAGUGGUAUUCCUCCCACAAUUUAAUUUGUAUAAAUGUUACCAUCAAAUUUUAAAAAAAUAAAUCGUAUAACUGCUUUACGAUGCAAUUUCCUUUCUUUUGUAGUUUUAAGGGUGGUGCGCAGGUAGGUUCAACUGCGGCUGCUGGUGGACGUCACGACAGCGUUAUAAGAAUCUUCGGUGAAAACAGGUCCACAAACACCACAUCUAUUAUCUCGACACCAUGUGCACAUACAUUACAUGGGAGCCAGUCAACGCCUCUUGCACUCCGGAAGCCCAUGGUUUGUGAUUCACAAGGACAUCAUCAACAAAGCUGUCCACAUCCGACUCUUUCAAGCCCCUUUGAUUGAGAAACAAAAACAACCACAGAAUCACAAAGUUAAAAAUCCCCAAAUACUUAUCGCUAACACGCCCAUUUAGGGCUGGUUUGGUAUUGCUGUGCUUUGAAAAAAAGCUGCUGUAAGAAUAAGCGGCUGUGCUGUGAGAAUAAGCGGCUGUGAAAUAAAACCAGUAGAGUGUUUGGUAAACUUUUUUGUGAAAGUGCUUUUGGAAAAAAAAAGCAGGAUGAUAGUGUGUCUUUUUAUUAAAAGAGCACCGUAGCUCUGUGUGCUUUGAAAAAACUGGUUUUUUUUUCAAAGCAGCAAAUAGCAGCUUCAGCUUUUCCUUUGAUUUUCAGCUUAUUCUCACAGCAGCUUCCAAAAUAAGCUCUUUUUUUUUUUUCAGUUUACCAAACACAAAAAUGACCAUCAGUUUUUUUUCACAGUGGCUUUUUUUAAAAUCACCUCAAUCCCAAACGGGGCCUUAGUAAUCACAAAUACUUAUCGAAAACUAGACAACAACCUUCACUAAGUUUUUGUGCUGCACUUUCGACAUCAUUGCCACUUCCCUCGCAAACCGCUCUUCUCUCUUGGCAAUCUGCUCUGGGGUUUCUCCUCUAUGAACAUUUUUUACAGCAACUUUUUGACUCUUAUAUCUAGAACAAACAAACGCAACCACCAAACAGAUUAAGAACACAACAGAACAGAACAUCAUCGUUGUAACUCGACACGAAAAACACAUAUUCGGCAUCAUAAACACCAUAAUUGCAGAACACCAAAUCAAGUUUUGAUCUUUGAUUAGUUCUGCAAAAACCCAACUCAAAUUUGCAUUUAUAUUUAACAAGAUCUAAGGCAUCAUAUUAAAUUGCUAAACUUGAGAGACCAGAAAUUCAGAAUUUAAGACAAACAAAAGAUGUUUUGGAUCGAUCAGCCACUUGGCAUCCAAAUCGAAAUCCCCAACUGAAUAAACCCCAUUACCAGAUCCCAUAAUUUUCUCUCUCUAAAAUUCAACAAGAACAAAACAAGAACAACAUACACUGACUAAUUAACCAAAACAAAGGGUACCCUUUAUUUGUAGGACCACAUUUGAAGUAAAGAUGAAAGCUUUGGUCUGGAUAAAAAUGGAAAAAAUUAAUAAAAUCAGCAGACUUCGUAUGAUUGGAGAGGGAGAAAGAUGAAGACUUUCUAUAAUAAAAGGACUUGCUUGGUACUGUAGGUUUCAGAAAACAGACCCAUCCCCGGAAUCACGGUUGAGGAUCCUACAAAGAAUUUAGCACAAGAUUGUUUGCCCUCCCACUUCCGGUGCCCUCUCAUGUCCUUCUGUUUUGUGUGGUCACGAUUAAGCCAUAUCAAUAUUUUAUAUUGUUUUUUUUAUAGAGAUAAUAAGAUAAAAAUAAAUAGUAAUAUAAAAUAUUGAUGUAGCUUAACCGUGACCAUACAAACAGAAGGGUACAUGAGGGCACUAGAAGUGAGAGGGCAGACAAUCCUUGUCCAAAAAUAAAAUCCCAGAGGCACCCACCAACAACCCUACAAUAUAAAAAGGAGGUGGAUUUUCUGCUCUCUCAUUUCCAUACUCUUCCCAUUCCCUUCUGUUUGUGUUAUCACGGUUAGGCCACGUUAACAUUUUAUAUUCAUAUUAUUUUUUAUUUUAUUAUUUUUAUAAAAAAAAUAAUAUAAAAUGUUGAUGUGACUUAAUCGUGACCACACAUCACAGAGGAGAUGAGGAAAGUAUGAAAAUAUGAGGCAAGACAAUCCGCCUCCAUAUAAAAAUGGUCACUGAUGAGAGCUCUAUCAGUGGGAGUGGAUUAGAUUUAUUAUUGGGAAUUGGGGAGAGAGAGGAAUCAGUAGAAGAGCAAGCAGAUAGAGUUGAGCAAGGCAGAGGAGGAUGAAACUGAGAGGAGGUGGAGAUUUGGGAACUUGGUGGCGGCGAUGGUGGCGGUGGGCGGGUGGGAAGUGAGUUCAGUUGAGAUUAAUUUAUUGGCCUUCUCCGCGAGUGGAAUGUUAUUGUCUUGUCUUCUAGAUCCAAAGAUAAACUAGUCUCUGUCAGAGAAUAGUGUGUUUCCUUUGUUUUUCUUCCUUUCUACCUCAUUUUCCCUUAUUUAUACUAGCAAGAAUAAAAAUUUAUAAUAAGAGAAAAUGUAAAUUGAUUUCUAAAUUUUUUUUCUUUAUGAUAUUCAAAUGAUUUUGCCUUGCUGAAUGAGACUGUUCAUAUCUUUGACUACUAGUUCUGAAUAAAUAUUUCUUUAACUAAAAGUUUACAAGGCAACUGAAAUGAUUACUUAGUUAUAAGACUUUGGAAAAAAAAUUACAAGUAUUUUGUGUGCAAUUUACUAUAUUAUGCAUAACUUUUAAUAUAUUAAUUUAUUUAAGUUAAUUUGGUCUUUUAACUUUUAUUUGGUUGAUUAAAAGAGUUUUGUUGAUAGGUAGUUUAGAUUAUAAUAAAAUAAAAUAAUUACUAAAUAAAUAGUUUUUUUAAUAAUAUGAUAUUAUGUACAUUAAGUGGUGGAGGGAGUGAGUUAAGCUUCACAAUGAGAUAGUCAUAAUAAUUUGUUCAAAUUUAUCUUAAUGAUAAUCGAACUUAAGACUUCUUAUGUAUGAGAGAUUUUUCAAUUUACUAGAAACACAUUGUAAAAAUACAAUUGGUUGGAAACUUAAAAAAUACAAUUUCAAACUAUUUUAUUAUGACACUUGGUGUAUCAAGUCAUGUUUAGUGUUCACACCACACUGAAAAUUUUCUCCUCACUUACAAGUCAAAAGGAAUACUAUUAAAUCGUAAUAUAAGUGACUACUAAAUAACUAAUUUAUAUAUUUGAUUUUUAAAAGUUUAGGGGAAAGGAAAGCUAAUCCAUCAAGGCCAAGGCAUAUAACAAGUAUCCUCGAGAACUUACACAAGGGGUCUUAGUCCUUUUUUUGUUUUUACAGAUCUUGCACAAAAAAUGGUUGCUUACAAUGGAACUCAAACAUAGACCUUGCAACUCAACCAAUCCUCAGUGGAAAAUACACAUGUAUUUGAGCAAUCUUUUAAUUAAUUUAAACUAAAUUAUCGAGUCAAAACUCCAUGCAAUAAACAUAUUGUUUUAAUUAAAUUAUUCAUAUACAAUAAUAAAAUGUCUAUUUAUAUCAUAGAUUCUAAGAUUUGAUAAAGAGAAUAUUUCCAAGAUGUGCAUAGACAUAAAACACAUACACACUACUCUAACUAAAUUAAUCAAGAACAAUUCUGCAAGAAAAUGGAAGAUAUGUGACUUUUAUUUAUUUCCUAGAUUCUAAGAAGGAUAAGAAAAUGUUGUCGGAGAAAAAGAAAGGUAAACGGGCGAUAAGAAGACGAAUACAACACAAUGAUACAAUUGGGGCUUCGAGAAAGUGCCCUUUUGGUAUCCACUAAGGCCAAAAACCCAUCACAAUAAUUGAAUUACCAAUGUCUUAUUAGAAAGUAAAACACAUUAUUUUGGCGAUUUUGAAACUUGAAUGACAAAUAUGACAUAGACAAUAAGGAUGUGUGACUCAGAUACCAGGUUGGAGGAAAAUGGACUGAAGUACAAAGGUUAAGGCAAGGAGAUAUGUGAGAGGUAUUACAUGAGUUAAUUAUCAAAUUAUUAUGACAUAUUUUAUCGCGUUUUUUAUGAGAGAUUUUUUAGUGUGCUGAAAACACAGCUCGAUACAUCAAGUGUCAUCACAUAACUGAUUGGAUACUUGAAAAAAAUAAAAUUCAACUUGUAUGAUGACACUUGAUUUAUCGGGUUGUAUUCCGGCACACUAAAAAGUUGUCAUCUCCUAGUUCAGAUAUACUGCUCUUUAUUUUAAACACAUCUUUGUACUCAUUAAAAGACAAAAAGACAAGCAAAUAUUUUGGUCCCAGUAUGCAAGAACCAUACAAUAUACUUAGAAAUAUCAAGCAUCCCGUUGGAAAUCAACUGUAAGGCAAAUAUUAUCAACGAAACAAAAGAAGGAAUUGCACAAUUCAUUUGGUGAUUAGGCGAACUAACAACAAAAAAAAUAUAAAAAAUAACGAGUCAAUAAUUUAAACACUGAACUAAAUGAUCCUUACGAAGAUGUGGGUUGUUGAAGAGUUAGAUCAUCACUUUCCUUAACUACACCAAACAACAUACUCCAAAUGGCUUUUGCAAUCAUUGUUUUACCUAUACCGCCCAUACUUCAAAUUCCAAUUAUUUGAACAUCAGGUGAACCUCCAACAUCCAAGUAUUUAGUACUGAAUUCUUGCACGCAAAAAGUUGUUCCAACUGAGUGCUUGGUUUCUUUUAAGUCUGUAGUUUUCAGUAGUCUCCUAAUGUCUCCAACAAUUUUCUCGAUAAACAAUCAUUGAUGUCUCGCGGUUAAAAUUCAAAAUUAUACAAAAGUAAGAUUCAUCAUGCAACUGCAAGAUUUAUAUCAACUAAAGGCUUUUGAUUCAAAAUGGUCCCUGAGAUUUGCAUCAUCCAUAAGUUUGGUCCCUGAGAUUUAAAAUUAAUAGAAGUAGUCCCUGCGAUUGUCCACCAUCCAUGAUUUUAGUCCUUCCGCUAAAGUUUUUGGCCAGAAGUUGGGCAAUUUUCAAAGCUUCGUAACUCAAUCGUUUUUUAACCAAAUUCGACCCAUAAUAUAUCAAAAUGAAGAUAGGAAAGUGUAGAAUAAGAUUAUAUCUAUUUGGAAGCCCAAUCAAUGGAAAACUGGAAAACUUGCCGGAAACUCGCCGAAAACUGGGUAAAUUUUAAACAUUCAUAACUUCUUCAAUACUCAACGAAAUCAAGUGAUUCAAAAACAAAAACCAUACUUCUCAACAAGAAGAAGAGAAUGGUACCUUUUUAAAUGGCUAACUCGCCUUGGUUUGGCCGGAAAACGGCUCGAAAGUGGCUGUUGAAAAACGAGUUAGCAACUUUCGAGCCGUUUUCCGGCCAAACCAAGGCUUUUUAGCCGUUAAAAAAGGUACCAUUCUCUUCUUCUCGUCGAGAAGUAUGAUUUUUGUUUUUGAAUCACUUAAUUUUAUUGAAGACGUUAUGAACGUUUAAAGUUUAUCCAGUUUCCGGCGAGUUUUCCAGUUUUUCCUCGGACCAGUCAAUUUUGAGGCUAUUUUCCGACCAUCGUCGGCAACCAUUGGGCUUCCAAAUAGAUAUAAUCUUAUUCUAUACUUUCCUAUUUUCAUUUUGAUAUAUUACGGGUCGAAUUUGGUUAAGAAACGAUUGAGUUACGAAGCUUUGAAAAUUGCCCAAACUUCCGGCCAAAAGCUUCAACGGAAGGACCAAAAUCAUGGAUGGUGGACAAUCUUAGGGACAACUUCUAUUGAUUUUAAACCUCAGGGACCAAACUUAUGGAUGAUGCAAAUCUUAGGGACCAUUUUGAAUAAAAAACCUCAACUAAAUGCCUCAUUCAUCAUGAUUAGAUAUUUUGGUAGCGAAAACGUUUUGAAUAAGUUAGAUUUGAUCGAGAUGACUAGUUAAGUUCAAUUUAGCCGUGUUUCUGAAAUGCAUUGUAACCGUAUUAGUUAAGCUCAGUUAGAUUGCUCAUGAACUAUAAGAAGGCGUUUGUUUGCCCUCACUAAACCGUAUUAUAGCUUUUAGUCAUACAAUUAGAAAUCCAUUAGAAUUAGUAUAUGGGUUUGACAUACGGAGGAUUCGUCCUUCACGCAUUACCAAAAGCUCCAAAGUUUUUUCCUAUAAACGUAUAAAAUCAAAGUCUGAUCAUAAUCUCCUUAUUUUUGGUGAAUUAGUGAGUCUUAGAAGCUAAUACAAGACAUUGGAAUUAAAUUUAGAGGAAAAAUUAAAAUACCUGUCCGCUGUGGUUUUAAGAUUCCGGCCACACAAAUCUGCAGAAGCCUUAAGAUCCUUCUCCACUGCUCGACCUCAUCUGGAUCUUCAUCCCUUUCAUGCUAACAAAGUUAAAAGAAUAAGGUAAAGUGAGACACCUAAUAAAAGUUUAGGUGGUAAAGUGAACAAAUGAGCAUAUAGAGUGAAGUAAAAUUUUGUCUACAUAAGUGUCAUAGAAAUGCCUUUAAUAUUUUUUACAUAUAGAAAAUAAAUAGGGUUAAUUACAUCGAUGUUCCCUGAAUUUGUCAUUUAUCUUCAUUUUCAUUCUUAAACAUUUUAUUUGUUUUAUAUGAUCUUCAAGCUCGCUAUUGCAUGACUUUUUUUUUUAUAUCCUUUUCGUCAACUUCAUCUAUUUUUCUAUUAAGUAGAGAUGAUAAAUUUAAAAUUCAUCCCACAACCUAAAAAAUGGGAAAAAGGAGGUGGAUGUACAAAAUUCUUGCUAUGCCCUCUAUAUUUAACAGAAAAAUAAAAAUAAAUUGGUCAAAAAUAGAUUUUGUUAGAUUAGUCACUAACGGGGUUCAAACUCACACCGUCAUGCAAGAUCUUAACUCAUUUCCACCACUAUAGUAAAGGGCCACUUGCAACCAAAAAAUAAAUUGAAUUAAUGGAUAUAAUUGAAUCACCACAUGAGAGAGUUUGAGAACCACAAUAAGAAAAAAAAAAAAGAAAAACUAUUCUAGAACGAAAGUAAAAUUCUUGACAACAAUGUUGUAUAUUUGAAAAAUAGUUCAAGCAGAUUAAGAUGUUAGCACAGAGUCAUUUAUCUCGUUUAUUGAACAAACAACGAGGACAUCAAUGCCGUUUUUUCUCUUUUGAAAUUCCUAAACAACAAAAUUGAGAUUUCUUUCACAAAAAUUACCAUAAAUUUUGACAAAAUUGACGGUCGAAUUAUAAAUCCAGCAGGCAAAUCGAAAACAAUCACAGGAGCUUAGAACACACCACAUCAACAUUUAGCAAGCAGUCUCAUAGGAAAUCCCAAUCAAGAUAAAACUAUUCAACAAUUUAUUACAUUUCGUUCAUAUAAGAGCAUGGUUAGGAGGAUUAUUUAAUUGACGUUAUAACAUCUUUCUACAAAGAAAAAAAUGAAAAAGAAAAUAGGGCCUCGGCACCCGUGGCAAAACCCAACAUGGAUUAGAGUACGUUUCAGCCUGACCUUCUGUAAAAGCUAUAGGCCACAGCCACUGUUGCCACUGCUCCAACCACGGCAGCAGCUGCGAGAACAUCGCUUUGCUCCCAGUUCCCAAUCAAGCUUGACAGCUUCCGUAAGGCAUCCUUUGUGGCACACGACUCUGUGGUUUCUUUCGACUUCAUUUCCUCACUUCCACCGUUCUCCUCCAAACUUACUUCUUUGCAGCAUGUAAAUCCAUCACUAUUAGCACCCUGGCAACAGCUUGAAAAGUUCUCAUUAUUCUCAAUAUGAUUGCCCUUUUCUUGGUGAAUCUGAUUGCUAUUUUCAUGUGGCUUCUCCUUGAUUUUCUUAUUUUCUUCUCCAUUUGGAAGUUCCCGGUCAUUAAUUUGUUCAGCUUCAUCAGAAAAUGCUCCCAUUUGGCCUCUGUAAGGAAUGAAAUUGAAUUUCGUGUUCAGCUAUUUAAAGAUUCAACUCUUAAGUUUCUUCAAUGCAGUUACAUCCAAUUUAGAAACAUAUACAGAGUAAUACUGUUGUAUCCAAUUCUUUUGUGCUUUCUCCACAGAAGUUCCUCGAUGUUAUUGUAACUCUAUAUCAAUAAAUCUAUCAUACAAGACUAGACAUAACCAUCAAUUGAAAAAUAUGACAACACAAGCUUCCGUCCAGUGAAAUUUUCAUCCAAAGACAAUAGGCAAAACCGAAAAUCUACAAACCUCCAAAGUCGUUCUAUAAUCUCUCCCUUCCCAAUAUGCUCAUCAAGCAAUUCCGGCACAUCAUCAGGAGUGACGUAGCCAUACCUGCAAUUAAUAAUACAUAAUAUUCAAAUUUCAUCGAUCCCAAUACGACAAAAUUUUAGAUUGUUAUGAUCCGAAUAUUACCAAUGGCCUGUUAUGCUUCCAUCUGAACCUGGGCUGUAGAUAAUCAAGUUUCCAUUGUGGCCUCCAGUGUGAAAGCAAGCAGCAACAAAUAUCUGAUUCGUCAAUCCUCGUAGCUCAGCCUCCUCUUUGAACUUAUUAAUGAGAACACAUGCACUAUCACGAUUCCAUUCCUCUCGACUACCAUGUGCACAUACAAAUACAUAGGAGCCAGUCAACGACUCUUGCACUCCGGAAGCCCAUGGUUUGUGAUUCACAAGGACAUCAUCAACAAAGCUGCCCACAUCCGACUCUUUCAAGCCCCUUUGACAACAAACAAAAACAACCUCAUAAUCACAAAAAGGGAUUUACAGGCAAGGAAUUAGUCGUAAACUGAGCCAUUAAAUUCAAAGGAAAACUAAUGAAAAGAGCUUGAAAACUUUGAGUUUUAACGAUAAGGACAAAAUAAAGGGUAAAGUGAAUAGUACCAGGAUUGACUUUUUAGUGCAAAAAUGUGGUUUUUCGUUAAAGUGAAAAGUACCAAGAGCUUUUCGUUAAGGUUCCCUAAAUUCAAUUUCUACAACUAAUUUCAGAAGCUAACACACAUCUAAUCAUCUAUUUAGGUCAGUGGAUUCAUGUUGGUUAUGGAAUGGGCCCUCCAUUAUGAAUUAAUUACGGUUUGCCAUUGUGUGUGUUAGUGUGGGCCGUGCUUAACAGCUGGGUUGGGCUGCUGCAUUUGGGCCCAGGGUGCAGCUCUCACGGGUUUUGGGCUGGGUUUCACCGAAAUAUCAAAUGACUCUUUUGCCCCCUUCAGUCCUAAUCCGACGGCCACCAUUUGCGGCGUUUGUGGUCUGCAAUUCGGUGGGGGGGGGAGGUGGGGUUAGCUUGCUUUCAAUCUCGUCAAGGAGUUCGUGCAGAGAGGCAGGGGAUGACAUCAAGUUUAGGGUGUGCACAGUGAGAGAGAAGAGGGUAGGAGCUAGAGAGAGGGGGGUGGGUUCUGUCCGCGGACGUAGGUUGCAGAGAGACAGAGAUGGGGAAAAGUAUGGGGGUGGGGUUGAGGGGAACGUGUACACAGAGAGAGUGAGGAAGGGACAUAGGAGCUAGAGGUAUGGGAAAGGAGUCGAGGAGUUGAGGAGUCGAGGGGUUGAGGGGUUGAGGGGUUGAUUUGUCAGGGGCUGCUGCAUCCUUCCUAUUCAAAAGGUAACAAAUAAUUUUCAAUUCAUUCUUUACCCUUGAAUGUGGAUUUACUGUUCGGGGUUGAGGAGGACAUCAUAUAUCUUCCCUUUUUCUGAAUUUUAGUUCUGUCUUCUUCGACUCUUAUAUCUUCCCUUUUUCUGAAUUUUCUUUAUUUCUCAUCCUUUAAACUUUGUAUUUUUUUUAAAUAUUUAUUUUUUUGGUGAUGCAGAUAGAUGAACAUGUUCAAAGGGGAAUCAUGAACCACAGAUCACUGCAUCCGAAUAUAGUUUGAUUCAAAGAGGUCAGUGAUCAUAAACUAUUUUCAUUUUGUAUUUUAAGAAUGAAUUUGGCAAGUUUUGUUUGAAUUUUGUAUAAGUAUCUGCUGAGGGUGGGUGGAUGAAGACAGAACAAACUAAAUUUGGCCUCUGGUGUGCUUAAACUGGUACGGGGGAGGGUUAGAACUUUGAGCCCAUGAUGCAGUAGGACUAGAGAAAUGCGGCAAUCCACCACUUGCAGAAUUAUUGUCAAAAUAACUCUGCUAAAAAUAUGAGCUAUGCUUCCUGCACUUUGUUUUUACUGUGAAGUGGAAAUAGUCUUUAGCGUGGCUUAUUUGUGAUAAUUGAUAAAGAGGUUAGUGUUUAAGACUUGAGAGUAGUGCGGUGUCUUUCUCGCUGGUUCUGAUGAUGGAGUACACGGCUGGGUGAGAACUCUUCGAGGGAAUAUGAGGAUGAGAUAAAGUAGUUUCAAAUACAGGGAAAAUUUCAUUGGAAAUGAUUUUAGUUUAGUUUCAGCUAGGGAAAGUUAGGUCUGAAGCAUUUUUACAUAAACAGUCGGUCAUAAUAUAACUAAAACUUACAUACUUUUUCGAUUUAAUUGUUGUUUUGCAUCAGGCAAAGUUUUUCUUCCAGCAGUUGAUAUCAGGAGUUAGUUGCUGUCAUUUGAUGGUAUGUAAUGUGGCACUUUUCUGCUAAUGCGUUGUAUACUGUUAUUUAUUUCUCUUUUGAUAUUGGAAGUGUUGGUUGUAGUAAGGAAAUAAUUCGUUUCAAUAGUAUACGACUUCGGUUUAAUAGUAUAUGACUCAGUUUUUGAAUAGCACUCAGGUGGUAUUACGACUUAGUUUUCUAAAUGCCAAUAACAGCUCUAGAUUUUGUCUCAAGUCAAGUAUUCUUACUAAUGUAGCAUUUUGUUGGCACAUCAGUAUGUUUUGAUUGUUUCUCUGCUUGAAUAGAGAAUUGUUAACGUCCGGGUGGGAACGUGGGUCAGCUCAUGUUUUAGUCUCUCCGUCGUAAGCAAUUUUACAUGGUACUCUUCAAUGUAGCUAUAGGUAAGACAACACUCUCAGUAUUCCAUAAUCAAACCACCAUUUGAACUUUUUUUCAUCCACCAAGUUAAGCUUUUAUGUGCCAUCUUGAAUAGUUAUAAGUUAUUGCUUCAGAUUACUCCAGUGCGACAUUGUUGUUCUCUUCCUUACCUCUCAAGCUUGCUUAAUAUACCAAUUCUUAUUACUGUUGUAUUGUUAAGAAAUACUCAAUUGCGGAUUCAGUUCAUCGUUUUGAAUCGGAUAAAAAUUAACCACUCAGUGGUUAAUUAUCUAAAUGGGCGGUAGGUCUCGGGUUCGAGACUUGUGAGCAGUCUCUCCAUAAAUGGGGGUAAGGCUAGCCGACAUUCACCUCUCCCAGACCCUGCGUAAAGCGGGAGCCUUGUGCACUGGGUACGACCUUUUUAGUGGUUAAUUAUCUAAAUCCUAUAAAUUCGGAUAAAAAUUAAAGCAACUACAGAACAAAAACCUCAAGAAAUCAACGCAAAUUUACCUGUAUUUGAUCAUUUUUGGGCAAAUCAACACAUCGCCGUCGCAAAACUCAGUUCCUUCGCAUCCUUCAAUUACUGUCAACGUCGUCUAUCAAAUACCAAGAAAAAAUGUGAGUAAUGGAGUCAACUCAGCUCAACACCAGAACUCAGUAGCUCCAGGAAAUAAGAAUGGUAAGAAAAAGCAAUCAGAAACGUCGACGAAUUGAGCUGGAAAAUGGACCUUAAUGGUGAAGUCGUUCUCGCGAGCUUUGAGAGCGGAUGCGAAGAACUUAGGGAGUGGAUCGGACUCAGGGCCUUCGAUGCGCCACGGCCAGGCCUCCAGGGUCUUGUAGCAAAGGAAAACGUGGUGAUAGCUCAACAGUGUAUCGUCGUCAGUGUCUUCAUCAGACUCAUAUGACUUGGUCUUAUAGUUGUCCCAAAUAGUAAGAGCAUCAGACAAAUCCCAUUUUACAAUAUCCACUCCUGUUUUGUUCAGCUUAAUUAUAUUAUCUCCUCCAUAAAAUCUUGCUUUUACAAGAACUAUGUCGCCACCUUUCAAAUUGAGCUUCUUGUUUGAAAGAUUUCCCAACCAAAGAUAAUAUUCAUGGGAAGCAGUUAUGGCGGCCUUAAUUGUCCAGAUGCUAAAAUGAGUUCGUUGGGUACGAUUAACAACAUCAAUGCAUAGAUCCCCAGUAGAGUUGGAGUUGUCUGAAGAAUAAAUGAUGCCCAAAGCCAACCCUCCUAUAUAAUCAAUACUUGGCGGCACUUCAAAUUUGACAGUUUUAUCCUCUCCCGCGACAUAGGCUAACCAGUUAGGAAUAUCAUUUCCAGAGAGAAAAAUUCCACCAAAUGCAUUUUUCUACAACAUGGGGUGCAAAGUCAGUAUAAGCAACAAUACAAAAAGCAGAGAGAGAGAGAGAGAGUACCAUACCGUUCGGAGGUUCUCCUUAAAAGUAUCAGUGAGACUGGUACACCCUUCCAUUUUAAUGUAAAUUAUCGAACCCAUGUAGUCCAACGAGUUCUUAAAUUUUGGAAUAUCUUGAGUUUGCGGCAGUCUUUCAGUAACAAUAUCCUCAUUUUCGACAUCUCUGAAAUGUCGGACAUUAUUUCCAGUGCAGUGCAGUAAUUCGCUUGCAGUAAAAGCAAACUGUUCGGCAAAUCUGGGAUUUCCUGAAGGUUUGUGCAAUGAUCGAGAAUUAAUACCAGAAGCUGAGAAAGGCCACUGAGAAUGGGUAGCCUAUUAAAACCAUUCCCACCUAGACCUAAAAAUGUUAAAGAAGAUAGACUCCCAAUUAUUUCGAGAACGGCACCAUCUGUUAUAUUGCAGUCACUGAGAUCUAAUACGUCAAUCAUCUUCAGUUGUGCUAAAAAAUGGUAACCCCCACACAAACCCUUACAGCCACUGAGCUCCAAUUUAUUGAGAUGUGGGAGUUUUGAAAAGUCUGGUAAUUCAGUCAGGUGAUGACAGUCGUUAAGAAGGAGAUACUUCAACUUCUUAGGCAACUGUUACUCAAAAAGAGAAAACAAUAAUAAAAAUUCAAAUAAAUAAAAGAGAGAAUGCAUGAUGAUGACUGAUGUUGAUAUUUACAAGGACAUUGAUAAUUAUAUCGUACCAGGUCCGAAUCCUCCCAAACUCGUACGAUCUUGCUGUUGCUCAGGUUUAAAUAAACUAGGUUUCGUUGAUCAAAAUCUGCUGGUAUGGCUUCAAGAGGAAAUCCAAUCCAAUCCAACGCUCUUAACUCCUUGGAAAGAUGUUUGUAGCUUCCAGUCAGCUUUACAUUAGCCAGGUCGAGAAAUUUCAGACGCCACAUCUUCUUAAACGCUUUCGUACUGAAGCUUUGCUCGUCAUCAGAAUGUUCUGGCAAAAAUAAGUGUAGUCCUUCAACUGCUUCUGUUCCCUGUUAGAGAUCCAAAAUAAAAAAGGAUAAUAUUCACACGAAGCAUAGCUGUGAAUUGGAUGAAUGAACUACUAGAAAGGUAGGGCAUACAACAUAAUUAUGUAUUCUCUCUUUCAAUUUACAAUGGAUGAAAGCCUUUUUUCUUAAAAUACACUAUGUACAACAUACAUUAUAUAUAUGCGGAUAUGCGUAUAUACUUCUCUUUAUUUACAUGUACUUAACAUAACAUCUUUUCAUUGCAAAAGUACUUACAGAUUCGUUCCUUAGCACGCUUUUUGCAUCUUCACUAUGCCACAAAUGACUACGUUUUCCCAAUUUCACAGGAGAUUCUGCCCGCACAAUUUCUCUUCCCAUAUCUCGAAUCAAAUCAUGCAUCCUCAAUCUUUUCCUUUCAUCAAUAUAUAGGAGACAUCGAUCGCAGAGUGUGGUAAUUUCUGCUUCUACAGAAAAACGACUACAACCAUCCAAUACUGGAGUGGCCACACUUAUAUGCACUCCAAUAAAGAAAUUAGAUAUGUCUAGGAACACACCCUUCUCAUGAUCAUCACGUAGUCCAUCGUAGCUUAAUUUAAGCGUUUCAUGAAUUUUUCCGUCUGGAAUAUUUCUCAAUUUAUCCAAUGUACUUUCCCAUAUGGUUUUACUCUUUUUCUUAGCCAACAAACGACCAACAACUUUCAGAGCUAGGGGCAAUCCUCCACAAUAAUCAACAAUAUCUCUUGCCAAUUCAAUAUAUUCUUUAUCGGGAUAAUCAUUUCCAAAGGCAUGCCAACUAAGGAGCUCAAAAGCUUCUUUCUCUGUCAUUGCUUGUGCCUUAUAUUUUUUAUCCACCUUUUGUAUAUUCAGCACAUGUUCAUCUCUUGUUGUUAUAAUAAUUCUACUCCCUGGACCAAACGAUUCAUGUUCUAUUGCCAAUUCAUCUAAUUGGUCUGCAUCAUCUAUGUCAUCAACCACGACAAGUACCUUCAUGCUUCCAAGUCUUUUCUUGAUCUCUUUGGUCCCUUCGGCAACACUGCUUACCUUAAUGUCAGGCUGUUUUAAAAUAUCUCGAAGAAGUUGUUCUUGCAAACUAACCAUCGCUUUCUUUUUACUCCUCACAUCUUCAAGGUAACAUUGACGACUAAAACUAUGCUGAUAAUUGCUACAAACGGCUCUGGCAAGCAUUGUUUUACCUAUACCGCCCAUACCACAAAUUCCAAUUAUUCGAACAUCAGGUGAACCUCCAACGUCUAAGUAUUUAGUACAAAAUUCUUGCAAGCGAAAAGCCAUUCCAACUAAGUGCUUGGCUUCUUUAAAGUCUGUGGUUUUCAGUAGUCCUUUGACGUCCCCAACAAUUUUCUCGAUAAACACCCCUUCACACCUACGAGUAGAAAUUCCAAAUUACGAGAGCCAUACUAAAUGCCUUAUUCAUAAUGACUAGAUAUUUACAUAUUGAAACAUAUUUGAAUAAACUGGAUUAAUUGAGCUCAAUUCAACCACGUAUCCAAUCUUUGAUUAUAAUGUGAAUACAUUAGAUCAUUGGUGAUUUGACUAUUAUGCAAUUGUAGCUUUCAGUAAUAUAAUUAAGAAUCCAUUACAAUUGGUAUUUUAAAUUGAUAAAGUGUGGAGCAUUUGUCCUUCACACACCCAUAAAAAACAAAGCACGUACCCUGCGCUUCACUUCCUUAAUUUCCACGGAAAUUAUUAUGCAAAUGCUCUACCUUUUAUAAAAUUCAUAUACCAAUUGUAAUAAAUUUUUAUGUAGGGACCAAAAUUACAGUUCUAUUAUAGUUCAGAGAUCAACGAUCCAAUUUUUCUUAUGACAUAUAAAAUCAGAUUCAAUGCCUUAAUUAUAAUAUCUUAAUUUUGGUUGAUUAGUGAAAUAUGGUGAUAUGAAAUUUGAAGUAAACAAAAAAGUAUACCCGUCGGCCGUGGUUUUGAGGUUCCAGCCGGCCAAAUCUGCAGAAGCCUUAAGAUCCUCUCUCCACUGCUUGACCUCAUUUGGAUCUUCAUCCUUUUCAUGCUUCUGAAAUGCUUCCCCAAAACUAUCUUUCUGUUUCCUGACUUGAGAAGGGUCAACGUCGUAGAAUAUUGGACACACUAUCUUCCCCUCUUGAUCUUUUAGGCACCUCAUGAUCUUCGACAGCUCCCUCAGGCACCACCGGGACUCCGCGUACCUCUUCGAGAAGACGAUGACAGCGAUCCUCGACCCUUCGAUUUCUUGGUCAAGUUCACUCUGUAUGUCUUCCCCCCUUCUGAGCUGUUUGUCUAUAAACGUGUUAAUUCCGGCAUUGCGUAACGCAAUGAAGAGGUGGUCUGUGAAGGUGUUGCGGGUAUCUUCGCCUCUAAAGCUCAGGAACACCUCGUACUUCCAGCGGUUUGAGCUCUGCGAGGAAGACGAAGAGGCGGCAGAGCCAGCUCCUUGGGCGGAGCUGCUGGUAUCCAUUGCAGACCGUAGAAGUGCAGCUUGGCUUUCAAAUAACCAAAGUCAAGUCUUUACCCAGUGUCGGUGGCCGUUUUAGAUAUUUUGCAUGGGCCAAUAAUGUCACUGCUGUGUCGAUAACGCGCUCCCACAGUUUAAUUUGUAUAAAUGCUUUACGAUGCAAUUUCCUUUCUUUUGUAGUCUUUUGAGAAUCUGCCGCCCAACUUUGACCGGUUGACGAUCUUAUUGUAUUAUAAGAUGUGCAUUUUGAUUAUCAUCAUUUAAUGUGAUGUAUGUUCAUCAAAUUAUUUAUUAUUAUUAGAUGAGUUUAAAUUUUAAGAUUUGUACUUAUGCACUACCCACCCGAAUCUCGAAAUUCAAACACAUUUAACGAUGAUAAAUAGAAUGAUAAACAUAUAUCAUACUAAAUAAUGGUGAGCAAAAAUGCUCCCGUAUUUUAAGGGUGGUGCGCAGCACGUUCCAACUGUUGGAGUCAGUAGUAUCAACGGGAAGAGACCUCAUCUCCAACAACCCAUCUUAACAAAAAAUGCAGAAAAUUAAACUCCAACAGGCUAACUAAAUGACUCUUUAUUUUGUGAACGGUAACUAACUAAAUUUAACCAGGAGACAUUCGUAGCUUACGUCAAAAGGAUCAAUGUUGUAAUAUAAGUAAUUUACUUGCUCAAAAUAAGGAUCAAUUUAGCUACGAAAGCAGGGAGAUGAUCGAGCUCACGAUAGCAGAUUUUUUUAUCCUAUCGUCUUGCAAGGGAAACAAGCUACCAAUUGCUUGCAUCAUCUGAAGCCAUCCAACUAAUGGUUGAAUUUCUCAGUCAAGACUAUGCUCAAGGCAUCAGUGUGCAGGCCAGACUCGACAGCAUAGCCACACUACACAACCUCUCGCGCUGCCAUCAGAUUAUUCCGUCUCUGGUCUCUUCGGGCGUAGUGUUUUCAAUGCUAAAACUGCGGCAUGGAAGCUGUUUCUUUUUGAGACUGUUCCAAUUAUGGUUCGAGAAACAAGCAGUCAAGGAAUAAGUUGAUGGGGUGAGUACAACGGCAUUGAGACUGUUCCAAUUAUGCAGGAAGUUGAUGCAGAAGGAGAAAAAGUUGACGGGGUAAGUACAACGGCAUUGAGACUGGUAGAGGAGAAGCUUGCAAAGAUCAGCAGUGGACGAUAAUCUCGACCAAACUCUGAGCUUUGCCAAGCAGAUUAAGAUGUUGGAACAGCCGUUCAUCUUGUUUAUUGAACAAACGAGGAGGACAACAAUGCAGAAUCAACGCUUGAAUUCAAAGUCCCAACAGGCAAAUCGAAAAUAAUCACAAGAGCUUAGAAAAUACCACACCAACAUUUGGCAAGCAGUCUCACAACAAAUCCCACUAUCAAGAUAAAACCAUUCAACGGUGUGUUGGAACAACAGAUUUCAGUUGUGUAAGCAAUCAACAUAAAGGAACAGUGAAUACUUUUGUAACUAUAUAUGGAUUAGCUUCGGGAAUUCAUCAAACCCUCCGAAAAAGAACGUAUAGUGUAGCUACCAUAUUCUCCUUUCAUAUAAGAGCUUAUUUAAUUGACGUUAUAACACCUUUCUACAAAGAAAAAAAAGAAGAAAAUAGGGCCUCUACACCCAUGGCAAAACCCGACAUGGAUUAGAGUACGUUUCAGCCUGACCUUCUGUAAAAGCUAUAGGCCACAGCCACUGUUGCCACAGCUCCAACCACGGCAGCAGCUGCGAGAACAUCGCUUUGCUCCCAGUUCCCGAUCAAGCUUGACAGCUUCCCUAAGGCAUCCUUCCUGGCACACGACUCUCUGGUUUCUUUCACCUUCUUUUCCUCACUUCCAUUGUUCUGCUCUAAACUUACUUCUUUGCAGCAUGUAAAUCCAUUACUAUUAGCACCCUGGCAACAGCCUGAAAAGUUCUCAUUAUUCUGAAUCUGAUUGCCGUUUUCUUAGGGCUUCUCCUCCAUUUUCUUACUUUCUCCUCCAUUUGGAAGCUUCUGGUCAUUAAUUUUUUCAGCUUCAUCCGAAGAUGCUCCCAUUUGGCCCCUGUAAGGAAUGAAAUUGAAUUUCGAGUUCAGCCAUUUAAAGAUUCAACUCUAUGUUUCAUCAAUAGCAAUCGAGUAAGGACAUGUAUGAUCAAGCUUAAUAAACAAUUUGACAACAGUACCUACUUGACCCCGUCCCCCCUUCCCCAAAACCACCUUUGGUUUGGUUCUAUAAAAAAAAAAAAAUUGUUUGAUUUGGUUCACACGAGUUGUUUGAUUUGGUUCCUCAAUGUUAAUGUAACUCCAUAUCAAUAAUCUAUCUUCCAACACUAUAAGUAAUCAGCAAUAGGAAAAUAUGACAACAGAAGCUUCAGUUCCAGUGAACUUUUCAUCAGCAGACGGUUGGCAAAACCGAAAACACACAAUCCUCCAAAGUCGUUCUAUGAUCUCUCCCUUCCCAAUAUGCUGAUCAAGCAAUUCCGGCACAUCCUUAGGAGUGACGUAGCCAUACCUGCAAUUAUUAAUACCAUAAUAUUCAAAUUCCUUCAUCUAUCCCAAUACAAUAAAUUUUACAUUGUUAUGAUCCGGAUAUUACCAAUGGCCUGUUAUGCUUCCAUCUGAACCUGGGCUGUAGACAAUCAAGUUUCCAGCACACUUGUGGUCUCCAAUGUGAGAGCAAGCAGUAACAAAUACCUGAUUUGUCAAUCCUCGCAGCUCAGCCUCCUCUUUGAACUUAUCAAUGAGAAUAGGUCCACAAACUCCACAUUUUUAUCUCGACUUCCAUGUAGACCUGUAAACGGGUUAGGUUUAUUGGGUUUGGGUCGGGUUGAACCCGACCCGUUAAGUUAACGGGUCACCCGAACCCGACCCGUUAAGCUAACGGGUCACCCGAACCCGACCCGUUAAGCUAACGGGUCACCCGUUUCACCCGUUAACACCCGUUAACAAUUAUUAUUAUUUUUUUUUUGCAUAAAGUUUAUUUUUUGUUAUUAAAACUUUACUAAAAUUACUAAAAUAUCCUCAACUAACGGGUGCUAACGGGUGUUAACGGGUCUAACGGGUUGACCCAAAGUGACCCGUUAUUUAACGGGUGUUAACGGGUUCACCCGUUAGCGACCCGACCCGUUAAGCAUCCACCCAAAUACAAAUAUUAACGGGUUGGGUCGGGUUAACGGGUUGGGUCCAAAAUGCCAGGCCUACUUCCAUGUGCACAUACAAAUACAUGGGAGCCAGUCAACGCCUCUUGCACUACGGAAGCCCAUGGUUUGUCGUUCACAAGGACAUCAAUUGGUUAGAAACCAAGCCAUGUUACCGGCACACAGCCUCAGAGUAAACAAGGAAAAUUUCAAGGUAUCAACACUAAAACUAGUCCAAAACACACUAAAUUAGCUCAAUUCGAGACUUCGUAAAUUGAAAUGGGAAAAUCAUAAACUCUAUCUCUAGUUAGCAAUCAUCGAAAUCUCCUAGUCAAAUAAAGCAAAUCUGAAGAAUCAAAACACCACUCACUGGUUAAUUAUCUAAAUCCUAUAAAUUUCGGUUAAAAUUAAGCAACUACAGAACAAAAACAUCUUUACCUGUAUUUGAUCAUUUGUGGGAAAAUCAACACUUCGCCGUCGGAAAACUCAGUUCCUUCGCGUCCUUUAAUUACUGUCGGGUCUAUCAAAAACCAAGAAAAAAGUGAGUAAUGGAGUCAACUCAGCUCAACACCAGAACUCAGUAGCUCCAGUAAAUAAGAAACGGCAAGAAAAGCGAAACGCCGACGAGUUGAACUGCAAAACGGACCUUAACGGCGAUGUCGUUCUUGCGAGCUUUGAGAGCGGAGGCGAAGAACUUAGGGAGCAGAACGGACUCAGAGCCUUCGACGCACGACGGCCAGGCCUCGGGGGUCUUGUAGCAGAGUAAGACGUGGCGGUCGUACGCGUUGACAGUGCCAGCAAGUUUUUCCUUGCACAUCUCCAAUCUCUUGAAACCGAACCUCUCGUCUUCGGUGGCUGGAACGGCGACGUCGAGGUCAUCGGAGACCAUUGCUAGGGCUCGGAGAGGAGGGAGGGGUUUACCAGGGGUUGAAGUUGAAAACGAUGAGAGGGAAAAGAUGAGAGAGAAAGAGCGUUGUUGUUUGGUUGUUGUGUUGAUAUAACGAGGAGGCUGAGAAGGGAACCGCGGUGUCGGUGUGGGUGUAGGUGCGUGCGCAACACAUACGGCGCACGAUGGGGUUUCUGAAGAUCGGAGUCGGGACGCGUGGGAUUGGGCACGUGGGGUUUGAUUUGUAGUUCAUGUAUAUACCUCUUUUUUGAGAAUAAAGAUUUUUUUUGGAUCCUCUUUGUAGGGAUUUUAUAGUUUGUGUAUCGUAUUCAUUCAUUGUAAAUCAGACGGUUAGAAAUUACUUUAAAUCUAUAAAUUUAAAAUUAAACACAAAUAAUAUUUAAAGAAAAUUGACUGCAUAAUUAAUACGAUAAACGAACACAAUUAAAAAAUUCUCAGAAUCCUCGUAAAAAGAAUCCGAACUCUUUUGAUGUCUCCGAUCAUAUCGGACGGAAGCUAAAAGAUAAUUCGUGCACGCAAAAAUGGAAGGUCCUACAAACGGAGGAGGACCACUCUCUAUUCCCGGGAAGUGGGGUACAAGCGCGUAUGUAUAUAUCACCCAAUGGGGCACCAAUAUGUUGUACUAGCAGGGAACUGAAUGAGGUGAAAUUGGAAAAUCCCUUAAACUUGGUGAUGUGGCGACCUGUGAUUCGGCCUUCACAUUCUGUCAAGAAACAGGCCGGUCACUUUGUUGAUUAAGUCAAGCAGUCAGCCUUAGCCCGACGUGGACAAGUUCUGGAAGUCUUGUUUCGCUCAUUUAUUUAUUUCUUGUCAAUGACGUGUAAUAUUUGAUUUCAUUUGUUUUUUUGGUGGACUAAUAUUAAAUAUACUUUUGUCAAUGAAUUAAUGAUACAAUUUAGAACGGUGAUAUUCACACAUUUUGCACAUAUUCUUCAAUUUGAUAGUUGAAAAUUGAGAAGAAUGUGUGUGAAAUGUAAAAAGAACGUGUAAAUAGCAUAUCCCUACAAUUUAAUAUAAAGGAAUGUAGAUUUCAAACAACGAUUGUUUUUUAAGGUAACGCUUUUGUUCUUGAUUUUUCAUGUUUGAGCUUGAAAUGAACCGCUUUCAUAAUCUAUUGUAUUACUUUGUGUUCAGUUGAAUAAAGUAUCUUUUUCCAACGAAAAAUAAACGGAAUGGCAUUUAAAUAAGGAGUGUAGAGAGUGUAUGCGUAAGGAAAGAGGCAUGCAAAAUUCAUUUCAGCUCAUACAUCUUUGUGUUGCUUAUGUUGGUCUUUCAAUUAAUUAUGUUGAGAGUGAGGAAAUAAAUUGUACUUAGCAGUGUCAAAUUACAACCCUAAUCGAAAAACGUCUUGUUCGCCGGACCUACUCGACUGCUCCGAACAAUGUAAGGCCGAAAGGCGGACGAUACAUAAUCGGGUUUUUUCGAAGUAGGCAUUCAUAAACAUCAAGGAAGCAUACUUGGUAGAAAAUGAAAGAUCCUCAACUUCAUUCCUCAAAUUUUCAAUGCAAUUGAAUUUCCUCAAAUCUAAGGAACUACCAGAUUGUAAUGCUUGCAAUGGAAGGGAACCAUUGUGUACAUGUAGCAUCCACAUGAAUCAGUUGGAGGCUUGUUGGAGUUUUUAACGGAAUGACCAAAAUGAUGGAUGGUAGACAAUCUCAAGGACCACUUUUGAUUAUUUACCCUUCUAUUGAAUUUGCAAAGGGGAAGAAGUUUUAAAUCCAUUACAAAAGAGAUAAUUGCAGCAUGAUUGAUAACAUGCUCAUCACGUGAUUGGGUUCCUAAAAUUCCCAGGUUGUUGCAGGCUUCCUCGUCCUUGUAGAAUAUUUUGUUCAACAAUUCCAGAGAAAAACAAUUAUUCGAUUCGUUUCAGGUAACAGAUGAGUAGCUUAAUUCAAAACUUGUUUUCGUUCUAGAAGUUUAGAUUAUACAAGUGAAUGGUCAAUAUGAUAUACUCGAUAAAAUUACAUGUCUCCUUUUAAAUUUAAAGUUCAUUAUUUUGAAGUGAUUUUUGGAAUUUAAUUUUUCAAUUUAUUUGAUUGAGAGGUGAGGAAUUGGAGAUAAUUAAUUAUGUUUGGGGGUUAACUGGUAUCCUCUAGAAUAUGUUUUUUUUUUUAAUGAGGAAUCCUCUAGAAAAUGUUUAACUUUAUUUUAAAUUUUCAUGUGGUUUUGGCUUCAAUGAGGCAAUGGCAUAUGUGUAAAUAAACAAAAGUUUAAUUCUAACCUAAGGGGGCUGACGGAAGUCAGGGGCAUGGAUGGAAAAGGAGUUUCUUACUUUGCACGUGGGGCUUUAUUGUUUGGGUUAUUCCUCCUAGCUUUUGUCAUUUUCAUUAAAAUUUAAAUCUUUUUAUUAAGUAAAAUUAUUAAAUAGUUUUUUUAUUAAGAAAUUGUUAUUAGGAUUCUAAAAAUCUCAUUUAGCAUUCUAAAUUUUUUAUAAUUAGAAAAAAAAAUACACUUAUAAGAAGUGUAAAUGAGAUUUUUGAAAUGCUAAUAACAAUUCGAUUUUAUUAAUAAAAAGUUUGAAGAAGGCCUUUUCAUUAAAAUUCCCCCAAAAAAAAAGGAGUAUGCUUCUUCCUAAAACGCUUCUUUAGGCCAUAUAAACAAACAGUGAGACGUAAAAACAUGCCCCAACCUCAAAUAUUUCUCUCACAAACAAGGAGAGAAUUUUCAGUGUGACCGGUACACAAGGUGGUACACCACGUAUCACUAAACAAAUAAUAGGAUAUGUGUGCUAAAAAGUUAAUAACUUAAAAAAUAAAAUUUCCCACUAUUCUUAUUAAAACACGUGAUGUAUCACUUAUAUUCCCGUCACAACUAAAAAUUUCCCUACAAACAGAGAGACGUAAAAACAUGCUGCCAUGGGCUUCAGAGAGGAAAAAAGAUCAGGAAAAAAAAUGACCUGAUUGGGUAAGACUUGUACACAAGUUUGUAGUAAAUGUCUACGUACCUUCCUUACAAGUCUGUCUCUUUACUGUGCUUUCCUUCAAUUCACUGUUGUUUCUUCAUCGUCAAAGCUUUCAAUAUUAAGAUCAAACCUUAAUGUUUUGCAGACCUCAUCAGAUGAGUGAUCUCUUAACUCUGUACCAUUGUGGGUGUCGUCAUCAAACUCAUAUGGUAUAGUCUAAUAGUCUGCCUCAUCAGUAUCAUCAUCUCACUCUAAUGGUACACGCUCAUAGUUCACAUUUUUUAUUUCUGAAGGUAAACAAUGUUCCCAUCCUACAAAAUUCACUCCUGUUUUCUUCACCUUACGAACCUUGUCCCCCCUUUUCAGAUUGAGCUUCCUGUUUGAAAGACUUCCCAGCCAAAGAUAAUCUUCAUGGGAAUCAGUUAUGGUGGCAUCCAUUCACCAGAUGGAAAAAUAAGUUCUCUGGGUAACCACAUCGAGGCAUAGAGACCCACUACACUGGGAUGGUCCGAAGAAUAAACGAUGCACACAGCCAACCCUCCUAUAUAAUCAAAACUUGGCGGCACUUCAAAUUUGACAUUUUCUUCCUCUCUCACGACAUAGGUUAACGAUUAAGGAAUAACAUUUCAAGAGCGACAAAUUUCACCAAAUACAUCCCCCACCUUCCAUUUCUACAACACGGCGUGCAAAGUUUGUAUAAGCAAACAAUACGAGAAGGGCAGAGCGAGAGAGAGAGAGAGAGAGAGAGAGAGAGAGAGAGAGAGAGAGAGAGAGAGUAUCAUGCAACAAAACAUAAAAACUCAUCUGGGAGAAUUAUGACUCUUGUGAAUUGGUAGUAUUAUCGAUGCAUAUGUUAUAUGAUCUUCAAACUCGCUAUAGCGUGACUUUUUUUUUUUGUAUCUUUUUCAUCAACUUCAUUUGUUUUUUUUUUUUUUCAAGUAGAGCUGAUAAACUUAAAAUUUAUCCACAACCUAAAAAAUGGAAGAAAAAAAAAGAGGUGGAUGUACAAAAUCCUUGCUAUGCCCUCUAUAUUCAACAGAACAAUAAAUUGAGUUAACGGAUAUAAUUGAAGUACCAUAUUUGAUUGUGUUUGAGAACCAUAAUAAGGAAAAAAAAAAACUACUCUAGAAUGAAGGUAAAACUCGUGACAACAAUGGUGUACAUCUAAAAAAUAGUUCAAGCAGAUUAAGAUGUUAGCGCAUAGACAAAUAUCUCGUUUAUUGAACAAACGAUGAGGAUAACAAUGCCGUUUUCUCUCUUUCGAAAUUCAUAAACAACAAAAUUGAGAUUUGUUACACAAAAAUUACCAUAAAUUUUGACAGAAUUGGCGGUUGAAAUAUAAGUCCAGCAUCCAAAUCGAAAACAAUCAUAGGAGCUUAGAAAAUACCACAUCAACCUUUAGCAAGUAGUCUCAUAAGAAAUCCCAAUCAAGAUAAAACCAUUCAACAGUUUAUUAGACUUCUCCUUUCAUAUAAGAGCAUGGUUCGGAGGAUAAUUUAAUUGACCUCAUAACAUCUUUCUACAAAGAAAAAAUGAAAAAGAAAAUAGGGCCUCGACACCUGUGGCAAAACCCGACAUGGAUUAGAGUACUUUUCUGCCU
rnacentral:lncRNA from 1 species